UCUUGACUUCCUUUGACCACUCUGGAGACUGAGCUUUCCCUUCGGGGACUAAGUGACUGGUGGUGCAUGGUUGUCGUCAGCUCGUGUCGUGAGAUGUUGGGUUAAGUCCCGCAACGAGCGCAUCCCUUGAUUUUUGUUGCCAGCAUUUAGUUGGGCACUCUAAAGUGACUGCCGGUGCAAGCCGGUGGUAGGUGGGGAUGACGUCAAAUCUUCAUGCCCCUUAUGACCUGGGCUACACA
rnacentral:rRNA from 1 species